rnacentral:rRNA from 1 species
GACGAACGCUGGCGGCGUGCCUAAUACAUGCAAGUAGAACGCAGUUGCGAACGGGUGAGUAACGCGUAGGUAACUGCCUCAUAGCGGGGGAUAACUAUUGGAAACGAUAGCUAAUACCGCAUACUGUGAGAUGGACCUGCGUUGUAUUAGCUAGUUGGUGAGGUAAAGGCUCACCAAGGCGACGAUACAUAGCCGACCUGAGAGGGUGUACAGCCACACGGUGGCCGGGAGCGGCCCAAGUGUACAACGGGCAGCAAGAGUGGGGAAGCUUCGGAAAUGGACGGAAGUUUGGCGGAGCAACGCAAAGUGAGCGAAGAAGGUUCUCGGGUCGGAAAGCGCUGUUCUUAGAAAAGCGGGAACUAACCAGAAAGUGAAGGCUAACUACGUGCCAGCAGCCGCGGUAAUUC